rnacentral:rRNA from 1 species
UACGUAGGGUGCAAGCGUUAAUCGGAAUUACUGGGCGUAAAGCGUGCGCAGGCGGUUAUGUAAGACAGGUGUGAAAUCCCCGGGCUUAACCUGGGAACUGCAUUUGUGACUGCAUAGCUAGAGUACGGUAGAGGGGGAUGGAAUUCCGCGUGUAGCAGUGAAAUGCGUAGAUAUGCGGAGGAACACCGAUGGCGAAGGCAAUCCCCUGGACCUGUACUGACGCUCAUGCACGAAAGCGGGGGGAGCAAACAGG